rnacentral:rRNA from 1 species
GUCGCUAUCUGUACUGUGCCCGCUUUUGGGACCGGGGUGACAAUACCUCUACAUUUAUACAAGACCAUGAACACCCUAGAAAUUUAUUGUACGGGGGGUAUAUUCACUACUAUUCUUGUGGGGUGACAGAAUAACAAAUAACUUAUUUUUAUAUAGCUAAGAUAUUUUAUAUAAUGGAAAACAAAAUUACUCUAGGGAUAACAGCAUAAUUAUUUAAUAGUUUGUGACCUCGAUGUUGGAUUAAGGAAGGUUGUACUCAUAAAGUACAACUAUUGGUUUGGUGCGAACCACAAAUUCUUACCUGAUCUGGAAUUC